rnacentral:rRNA from 1 species
GAGUAACACGUGAGUAACCUGCCCCUGACUCUGGGCAUAAGCCCGGGAAACUGGGUCUAAUACCGGAUACGACACCUCACCGGCAUCGGGUGGGUGUGGAAAGUUUUUUCGGUCGGGGAUGGACUCGCGGCCUAUCAGCUUGUUGGUGGGGUAACGGCCUACCAAGGCGACGACGGGUAGCCGGCCUGAGAGGGCGACCGGCCACACUGGGACUGAGACACGGCCCAGACUCCUACGGGAGGCAGCAGUGGGGAAUAUUGCGCAAUGGGCGAAAGCCUGACGCAGCGACGCCGCGUGGGGGAUGACGGCCUUCGGGUUGUAAACCUCUUUCAGCAGGGACGAAGUUGACGUGUACCUGCAGAAGAAGCGCCGGCUAACUACGUGCCAGCAGCCGCGGUAAUACGUAGGGCGCAAGCGUUGUCCGGAAUUAUUGGGCGUAAAGAGCUCGUAGGUGGCUUGUCACGUCGGGUGUGAAAGCUUGGGGCUUAACUCCAGGUCUGCAUUCGAUACGGGCUGGCUAGAGGUAGGUAGGGGAGAACGGAAUUCCU